ACUGUGCUGGUCAAACAGUUCAUUCAGGUUUUUCCAUAACAUCUUCAGAAAAAUCUGAAUGAACUUUUUGGUCAACCCAAU
rnacentral:miRNA from 1 species